AGCUGAAGCGGAGCUUCCCCAGCCAGCCUUGGCGCUGAGCCGCGGACCCAGGGCCGCCACCGGCCGCAGAGGCCCGCCUCCUCCCUCCGCUCCUGCUCGCCACCUGCCACCAACCGGAACCUGCCCGCCCCUCAAGGCCGUCUCAGAGGCCACGCCCUCUAGGAACUGCCCCUUGGUCACUUAUGGGCCCUGGGUACAAGCCGGAGCCGGCCCCGACAUCUAUCUCUCCGAGCCUCUCUGCACUCAGAAGAUGCUUGCCCCAAACUCAGACUUCAUAAAGAUCAAAAGAUCCCUGCGUUCGGGUUCCAAAGACGCACAGACCUUAAUUGCGACACCCAACCUAUCUCGGGUAAUAAUUCCAUUUAAGUUCUGUGAAACAAUAAAUACAUGUUUGAAUUAGUCCCAAUAUUUAUUGGGGUUUAGCAAGAACCCA